rnacentral:rRNA from 1 species
AUUGAACGCUGGCGGCAGGCCUAACACAUGCAAGUCGAGCGCGAAAGUUCUUCGGAAUGAGUAAAGCGGCGGACGGGUGAGUAAUACAUGGGAAUCUGCCUGGUAGUGGGGGACAACGUUUCGAAAGGAACGCUAAUACCGCAUACGCCCUACGGGGGAAAGGAGGGGAUCUUCGGACCUCUCGCUAUCAGAUGAGCCCA